UCGCCUACGGGACGCAGCAGUGAGGAAUAUUGGUCAAUGGGCGCAAGCCUGAACCAGCCAAGCCGCGUGAAGGACGAAGGUGCCAAGCAUUGUAAACUUCUUUUGUCAAGGGACAAAAUCAGGCUCGAGAGCCUGACCGAGGGUACUUGAAGAAAAAGCAUCGGCUAACUCCGUGCCAGCAGCCGCGGUAAUACGGAGGAUGCGAGCGUUAUCCGGAUUUAUUGGGUUUAAAGGGUGCGUAGGCGGAAUACCAAGUCAGCGGUAAAAAUUCGGGGCUCAACCCCGUCGUGCCGUUGAAACUGAUG
rnacentral:rRNA from 1 species